AUAAUACAACAGAAAAUGUCAUAAGUGAGAUGAAUUCGUUAUAUAUAGU
rnacentral:guide_RNA from 1 species